UUAGGAAUUUUGGGCAAUGGGCGAAAGCCUGACCCAGCAACGCCGCGUGGGUGAUGAAGGCCCUCGGGUCGUAAAGCCCUUUUCCCAGGGACGAUAGUGACGGUACCUGGGGAAUCAGCCCCGGCUAACUACGUGCCAGCAGCCGCGGUAAUACGUAGGGGGCAAGCGUUGUCCGGAUUUAUUGGGCGUAAAGCGCUCGCAGGUGGUUACGUGCGUCGUGCGUGAAAGACCUCGGCUCAACUGGGGGCUGUCGUGCGAUACGGCGUGACUGGAGGCCAGUAGGGGGAUGCGGAAUUCCGGGUGUAGUGGUGGAAUGCGUAGAGAUCCGGAGGAACACCAGCGGCGAAGGCGGCAUCCUGGACUGGUCCUGACACUCAUGAGCGAAAGCGUGGGGAGCGAUCCGGAUUAGAUACCCGUGUAGUCC
rnacentral:rRNA from 1 species